GACUCGUUGGUGUAAUUGGUAACAUACCUGGCGAGACUUAGAUGCUCGUCUGCAUGCGUGCGCAGGAAGACAACGGUUCGAGUCCGUUACGGGGCA